AGUGCCUGCCUGCCACGCCUGCAUUCCAAGCAGGGUCUCCUUGUCUCUCCUGCAGGGACCUCACUACUGCUGCUGCCAAUUAACCUCCUCCAACACAACAAAUAACCUUAACAAAGAAUACUUUUAAAAAUCCUGUCCUGUUUCGGCCACUCAACGAGCAAGGCCUGGGAAGGGCAGAGACGGAGGCCUGCAGCUUCAUACAGACCAGACCUUGUAAAGGAACUAUCUGAAGAUGACCCAUGUUGAUAUUGAAUGAUCUGCCUCUGGAUCCUCUUGCAAACCUGUGGAUGCCCUACUAGCAGUGUCAGAUCCUCCCCAGAUACGGUGUGUAUAUAUUUAAAAGUUCUGAGGCACUGAGAUUGUAGUGGCUGUGGCCCACAUGAUGAGGAAAAUAUCUCAGAGUAAAGAUAAAGGUAAAAGUAAA